rnacentral:lncRNA from 1 species
GCCUGAGCAGGUUCACAGCUGCUCAGGGAUACACUUUCCAGCACAUUUAGGACUUGGAACAGCCCCAGGUUUCAGGAACACAUGGUGAUGGGGGAGGGAGUGGGGCUCAAAUAGACUAGGAAGGGGGAAGCAAGCUCCUUCUUUCUUUCUUCAAGAUGAAUCUCCAUUUUCAUCAUCUGAUAGCAGGAACAGCAUGUGAGGACRGCGGAUGAAUUGCAAACCUGUGCAGUUACAGCCUCCACCCAGCCCCCCAAGCCAGCCAGGGACRCUCCAGUGUACCCCGGAAGUCGACCCCUGGAGUGAGUUUCCAAUAGCCAUGGCCAAGGGGACGAGGGAGGAACUUUGGACUGUCCCUAAGAUCUGGGGAGCUGGGGCUCAUGCAGAUUCCAUCCCACAARGCAGUGGUGUCCUUCCUCUUUGUUCCUGCUGGCUUUUUAAGGAGGACACAGACAUGGAACUUUCCCAGCCUCUGCCAUCUCCUCUCUUUCUCUGAGGCAAGUAACUGCCUCACAACUGACAGGAGCCAGGUGACGCUGUUGUCUCUUGCCCAUAUUCCACCUCAGUCAUGGACCCCUCCACCUAAUCACUAGACAUGGUCCAGGUGCUGGUUUUAGUUAGAGCAGAAUAUGGUCCCUGAACCCUGAGACCCCCCACGUUGAUGGUGAAUCCAAAGGAAUGGGUAAGUCUUUAAUGCCCGUGUGACAGGAGCUGAUGCAGGACAAAACCUGACUUGAGCACUCUCAGUGACUCUGAGGGACCUGUGACAGGGACACGUGGCUACAGGCAGCCUUCCCCUCUGUCAGCAUCUACCUGGGCAACCUGGAGCAGGCUUCUCUGUGCGCCACAGCCCACCCGUGGGGAUGACAGCGGAUGUUCACCUGCCUGCCAGGGUGGCUGCAAGAUGCAAGGUAAACUGUGUGCACCACACCAGGGCAACGUAGAAAGCCUGUCUGACUCUCAGAUUGCUCUUCUCCCCCUUUUCUCGAUGUGGUGACUAAGGAUGGAGGACUGUCCCAUAGGAGCCAGGAUCAGAACAGGAAGGCUGAUGUGCUGCUGGAGCUGGCUGCCCCUUCCGGUCCUGCCUGCCAGGGGCAGUGCUGCACAGAGCUGGCUUCUGUGUGGGGCUCGGAGCAGCUCCCGGCUCCCACCCAAAGCCCCUUUCUCCUGUGCUCUUGCAGAGCUUGCUCACAGGCUCCCAUUCAGAGGCUGACUGAUUGAAGAGGCGGCUGUGGGUCGGCAGUGUGACCUUUGGGCCCGCCUUGGUGGGUGAGUGAGUUAAGCCCCCGAGGCCCCUCCACCCCAAAGGGACCAGCCAGGCCCUGAUUCUGCACARAUCUAGCUAGGAAGGUGCCAUAUGGCAGGGAGGACGGGGCUGAGGUCCUGGCUUUCAGCCCCCAUGGGUUACCCAYCCCUUCUCUUCAAUGUGCCCAUUCACAAAGCCAGGCAAAUAAUCACCCUUCUCUCUUCGUGUGGAUUAGAGGAGGGGAGGGGCU